rnacentral:rRNA from 1 species
AUUGAACGCCGGCGGCAGGCUUAACACAUGCAAGUCGAGCGGAGAGAGGUAGCUUGCUACUGAUCUUAGCGGCGGACGGGUGAGUAAUGCUUAGGAAUCUGCCUAUUAGUGGGGGACAACAUUUCGAAAGGAAUGCUAAUACCGCAUACGUCCUACGGGAGAAAGCAGGGGAUCUUCGGACCUUGCGCUAAUAGAUGAGCCUAAGUCGGAUUAGCUAGUUGGUGGGGUAAAGGCCUACCAAGGCGACGACCUGUAGCGGGUCUGAGAGGAUGAUCCGCCACACUGGGACUGAGACACGGCCCAGACUCCUACGGGAGGCAGCAGUGGGGAAUAUUGGACAAUGGGCGCAAGCCUGAUCCAGCCAUGCCGCGUGUGUGAAGAAGGCCUUAUGGUUGUAAAGCACUUUAAGCGAGGAGGAGGCUACUUUAGUUAAUACCUAGAGAUAGUGGACGUUACUCGCAGAAUAAGCACCGGCUAACUCUGUGCCAGCCGCCGCCUAACAC